AUUAAUGGGAGAUUCAUAGUCAUGAUAAUUGUGUGAGAUGUGCUUCUCACAAACCUUAUUAUGACUUUGGCACAUUACCCUUCUGAUA
ensembl:snoRNA